GUCAGCCGCCGCGGGAACACCGGCGGCCCGAGUGGUGAUCGUGAUUAUUGGGUCUAAAGGGUCCGUAGCCGGUUUGGUCAGUCCUCCGGGAAAUCUGAUAGCUCAACUAUUAGGCUUUCGGGGGAUACUGCCAGACUUGGAACCGGGAGAGGUAAGAGGUACUACAGGGGUAGGAGUGAAAUCUUGUAAUCCCUGUGGGACCACCUGUGGCGAAGGCGUCUUACCAGAACGGGUUCGACGGUGAGGGACGAAAGCUGGGGGCACGAACCGGAUUAGAUACCCGGGUAGUCCCAGCCGUAAACGAUGCUCGCUAGGUGUCAGGCAUGGCGCGACCGUGUCUGGUGCCGCAGGGAAGCCGUGAAGCGAGCCACCUGGGAAGUACGGCCGCAAGGCUGAAACUUAAAGGAAUUGGCGGGGGAGCACAACAACGGGUGGAGCCCUGCGGUUUAAUUGGACUCAACGCCGGACAACUCACCGGGGGCGACAGCAAUAUGUAGGCCAAGCUGAAGACUUUGCCUGAAUCGCUGAGGAGUGGUGCAUGG
rnacentral:rRNA from 1 species